UUGGGACAGUGGCGCUGCACAGGGAGAUGUUGAAGAUGUUCGUGAGAACAUCUGUCAGCUGGUCUGACAGGAAAAGACAUGCCAACUGGAAAGACAGGCCGAGAAGUGGGCGUCCCAAGAAGUUCCUUAUACACCAAAUGAGUAAGUAGAAGAAUACGCUGAGAGGAUUUGGUGAAAUUUUUAUGGGUGCAAUCCACAUACUUAGCUCUGCUGCUCAUCCCACAAAUGCAUGUUCCUUACAAAUAUGGCAUCAUUUAAAAGAAAAAUUAACAUGCUUUCAAAUAUAUAAGAUGUAUUGCCAAGAAGCAAACAAAUAAUCUACCCAACAAAAAUCUCCUUACUUUUUGUGCUAUGUUGAGUUUUUUUGUUUCUUCUAGCAACUAUUAGACACGUUAUCUAUAGUCCAGACUUAACUUCCUGCAUGCAAAUGACUGAGGCUGCAAAAUGAGCCUUUCCUGUUGGGCCUGUGUGAGCAGUAGGGCUACACCCACAUGUGCAUGGUUUAUGUUUAUCAGUUUACAAAUGCAGGAAGAAGAAAGGCUCAUGUAGAAGUUUUACAACCGAUAACCAAAUGAUGUGAGCUGCUAGGCCUGUGAAAGCUUGCAAAGCUGUGUGAGAGGAGGAACACUCUGGAUGGGAGCUAAAGGACAGCACACUACUGGGAGCUACUUUGAACAUUAUUUCUGUUAGAUUACUUUGUUGAAGGGUGUGCUUGUGGGAAAGCAGCCCCAGCUAAGCUGCACGAUCAGCAGGUUUAAACAUAUCUUCAUGAAUCUUCUCAGACAGCUUUUUCUUUUUUUUUUUUGCUUUUUUUUCUUUUGACAACAUAAUUGCAAACUGUGUGAUGUGCUAUAUGAGCUAAUCCCCAACUGGAAAUGAGGAAAACAUGGUUCAGGACGUUGCUGCUGAACUUUUUAUGUUUUUAUGCAUGUCAAGCUAAAACAUGUGUAGUUGGAAUGUUGGGGGAAUCUGUCUCUAUUCCCUGUCUUUAUAAUGGACCAGAGGAUUUGACCACUUUAAACAUUUCAUUUGAAUGGAGAAGAGGCUCUGAGGUGGUCUACAAAGCUGUGUGGAGAGGGGGACAUGAGGAAAGACUCGAAGUGGACUUCAAUAGCAGGAGCACAGUGUCCUCUCUGGCACAAACUGGAAAUUUCACGUUGAAGUUAAAUGACAUCCGUUUUCCAGAUGCCCAGAAUUACAGUCUAUAUUUAAAGCGUCUGGACCGUGGAGCUAAUGCUUCAAUAUGCACUGUCUGCCUGAGUGUUGCAGCUCAUUUUACUCCACCUGUGUUGAUGAGAACGGGUGGGAAAGAGGGAGAAGCAACUCGAUUGGUUUGCCAGUCUCAGGGCGGUUUUCCUGAACCUGCAGUUCACUGGUAUAUCCACCACACUCAGCAUCCCCCAGCGGACACAGUCAGUACACAUACAAGCACUCUUCCCCAUUCUAAACUCUACAACGUCACCAGCAUUCUUUAUACUGCCAUUCCACGAGACACCACCGUAUCCUGUGCCAUAGAAAACCACCUGCUGAAUGAAACUCUGACCACAAUCAGCUAUGACGUUGGGUCCAUUCACUCACAUGGAUUCGUAUGGAUUCUCAGCGUCAUUCUUUGUGUGAUAGUGACUGUGCUGGUCUUAAUAGCUCUGUGUUACCAGAAGAAAUGGGACAGAGACAGAAGAAGAGAACGUGAAGGUAAGAUAAUCUCUUCUACAUUUUAAUGUAAAUUAAACUAGAGCUCCAUGUAGGGGUGAUGUUCUGGACAUGGAUUAAGCCUAGUCUUGGAAUUAAAUGCAAUGCAUAAUGGUGCAUAACACCUGUUCUGAUUGAAUUAGGGGUUUCUAACUUAUGCUCAGUACUGUUUCUGCUUUUCAGAUGAUUCAGUCUGUGAGGAAACAGAAAUGAUCAUGCUGGACAUGGACGCCAUGGACGGGCAACUUAACAUAGACUAAUCUGGUAUAUGAUAACCAGCUCUCAGCUGUCAGCUGUUGAAAAUGUUGUCCUGGUACUUAAUAUUGUCACACUGGAUUAGCAAAGUGAUGAAUCGACUUUACAUAACAUAGUUUCUUGUUCCUUUUUUCAGACACUGAUGACUGGCCACAACACCACUACUGCACUGCUGGACUGUAUUCAUUAACUCAACAAAUAUAAUAUUAAAGCAUAUUGUGACUGUCUCACAAAAAACACCACAAAAUAGCUACUUCCUUUCCAGGAAAAUGGGACAAAAGCACUUUGGAGCACUUCAAUUUGUCCAUUUAUCAUAAUAUUUGAAUCUGGCAGAAUCAGUUUAAGUUAAAAAUUACAAAAACUGUAUUAAGUGAGAGAAAAAUAAAUUUUAGUACUGAUUACA
ensembl:lncRNA